rnacentral:rRNA from 1 species
GACGAACGCUGGCGGCGUGCCUAAUACAUGCAAGUCGAGCGGGGAUUAUGCUUGAUCGCUUCGGUGAGACGGCAGAUAUCCUAGCGGCGGACGGGUGAGUAACGCGUAGGUAACCUGCCCCAUACUGAGGGAUAGCCUCGGGAAACCGGGAUUAAUACCUCAUAACACCGUAUAUUCGCAUGGAUGUGCGGUCAAAGAUUUAUCGGUAUGGGAUGGGCCUGCGUCUGAUUAGCUGGUUGGUGGGGUAACGGCCUACCAAGGCGACGAUCAGUAGCCGACCUGAGAGGGUGAUCGGCCACAUUGGAACUGAGACACGGUCCAAACUCCUACGGGAGGCAGCAGUGGGGAAUAUUGCACAAUGGGCGAAAGCCUGAUGCAGCAACGCCGCGUGAGCGAAGAAGGCCUUUGGGUCGUAAAGCUCUGUCGGGUAGGAAGAUAAUGACGGUACUACCCGAGGAAGCCCCGGCUAACUACGUGCCAGCAGCCGCGGUAAACAUACUCG